CCCGCCUUGUUUAACAAAAACAUGUCCUAUUGUUUAUUUAUUUUAGGUCUGGCCUGCUCAAUGAUUAUUAUUUUAAAUAGCCGCAGUAUUUUGACUGUGCAAAGGUAGCAUAAUCAUUUGUCUCUUAAUUGGGGGCUUGUAUGAAUGGUUUGAUAAGGAUUCAACUUUCUUUACUUAAUAUUAAUGAAUUUAAUUUUUGGGUUAAAAAGCUCAAAUAUUUUUAUGGGACGAGAAGACCCUAUAGAAAUUUACUCUAUUUUUGGUGUUUAUUUUUAUUCUUUUUGGAAUUUUUAUCAUUACUAGAGUUUUGUUGGGGUGACAUGAAGAUUGUUAUAACUCUUUGUUAUUACUUUUUAUUUAUUUAUAUACAACUGAUCCUUUUUUAUGGAUUAAAAGAUUAAUUUACCUUAGGGAUAACAGCGUAAUUUCUUUGGAGAGUUCAUAUUGAUGAAGAAGUUUGCGACCUCGAUGUUGGCNGUCCAUCAGUUUAAGUGCACCNGUUUGAUUCAGCCGGGUCGCCAUG
rnacentral:rRNA from 1 species